UAGGGAAUCUUCCGCAAUGGGCGAAAGCCUGACGGAGCAACGCCGCGUGAGUGAUGAAGGUCUUCUGAUCUUAAAACUCUGUUUUUAGGGAAGAACAAAUGGGUACGUAACUAUGCACGUCUUUACGGUACCUAAUCAGAAAGCCACGGCUAACUACGUGCCAGCAGCCGCGGUAAUACGUAGGUGGCAAGCGUUAUCCGGAAUUAUUGGGCGUAAAGCGCGCGUAGGCGGUUUUUUAAGUCUGAUGUGAAAGCCCACGGCUCAACCGUGGAGGGUCAUUGGAAACUGGAAGACUUGAGUGCAGAAGAGGAAAGUGGAAUUCGACGUGUAGCGGUGAAAUGCGCAGAGAUAUGGGAGAACACCAGUGGCGAAGGCGACUUACUAGGCUGGAACUGACGCUGAUGGGCGAAAGCGUGGGGAGCAAACAGG
rnacentral:rRNA from 1 species